GAUGAAGAACGCAGCGAAAUGCGAUAACUAAUGUGAAUUGCAGAAUUCAGUGAAUCAUCGAGUCUUUGAACGCACAUUGCGCCCUCUGGUAUUCCGGAGGGCAUGCCUGUCCGAGCGUCAUUGCUGCCCUCCAGCCCGGCUGGUGUGUUGGGCCCCGUCCCCCUUCCCGGGGGGACGGGCCCGAAAGGCAGCGGCGGCACCGCGUCCGGUCCUCGAGCGUAUGGGGCUUUGUCACCCGCUCUUGUAGGCCCGGCCGGCGCCAGCCGACCCCCUCAAUCUAUUUUUCAGGUUGACCUCGGAUCAGGUAGGGAUACCCGCUGAACUUAAGCAUAUCAAUAGCGGAGGA
rnacentral:misc_RNA from 1 species